CCUACGGGUGGCAGCAGUGGGGAAUAUUGCACAAUGGGGGGAACCCUGAUGCAGCGACGCCGCGUGGGUGAAGGAGUAUUUCGGUAUGUAAAGCCCUAUCAGCAGGGAAGAACAAUGACGGUACCUGACUAUGAAGCACCGGCUAAAUACGUGCAAGCAGCCGCGGUAAUACGUAGGGUGCAAGCGUUAUCUGGAUUUACUGGGUGUAAAGGGAGCGCAGGCGGCGCGUUAAGCCUGAGGGGAAAGCCCGGGGCACAACCGCGGGACUGCAUUGGGAACUGGCGCGCUGGAGUGCGGGAGGGGUAGGCGGAAUUCCUAGUGUAGCGGUGAAAUGCGUAGAUAUUAGGAAGAACACCGGUGGCGAAGGCGGCCUACUGGACGGUGACUGACGCUGAGGCACGAAAGCGUGGGGAGCGAACAGGAUUAGAUACCCUGGUAGUC
rnacentral:rRNA from 1 species